rnacentral:rRNA from 1 species
GAUGAACGCUGGCGGCGUGCCUAAUACAUGCAAGUCGAGCGAACAGACGAGGAGCUUGCUCCUCUGACGUUAGCGGCGGACGGGUGAGUAACACGUGGAUAACCUCCCUAUAAUACUGGGAUAACUUCGGGAAACCGGAGCUAAUACCGGAUAAUAUAUUGAACCGCAUGGUUCAAUAGUGAAAGACGGUUUUGCUGUCACUUAUAGAUGGAUCCGCGCCGCAUUAGCUAGUUGGUAAGGUAACGGCUUACCAAGGCAACGAUGCGUAGCCGACCUGAGGGGGUGAUCGGCCACCCUGGAACUGAGACACGGUCCAGACUCCUACGGGAGGCAGCAGUAGGGAAUCUUCCGCAAUGGGCGAAAGCCUGACGGAGCAACGCCGCGUGAGUGAUGAAGGUCUUCGGAUCGUAAAACUCUGUUAUUAGGGAAGAACAAAUGUGUAAGUAACUAUGCACGUCUUGACGGUACCUAAUCAGAAAGCCACGGCUAACUACGUG